CCUACGGGUGGCAGCAGUGAGGGAUAUUGCACAAUGGGGGGAACCCUGAUGCAGCGACGCCGCGUGGGUGAAGGAGUGCUUCGGCAUGUAAAGCCCUAUCGGCAGGGAAGAAGCAAGACGGUACCUGACUAAGAAGCCCCGGCUAACUACGUGCCAGCAGCCGCGGUAAUACGUAGGGGGCGAGCGUUAUCCGGAUUCACUGGGUGUAAAGGGAGCGUAGACGGCCAUGCAAGCCAGGGGUGAAAGCCCGGGGCCCAACCCCGGGACUGCCCUUGGAACUGUGCGGCUAGAGUGCGGGAGGGGCAGGCGGAAGUCCUGGUGUAGCGGUGAAAUGCGUAGAUAUCAGGAGGAACACCGGCGGCGAAGGCGGCCUGCUGGACUGCGACUGACGUUGAGGCGCGAAAGCGUGGGGAGCGAACAGGAUUAGAUACCCGAGUAGUC
rnacentral:rRNA from 1 species